GCUCCCCAGCCUCCGACACUAGCUCUGGGGUCUGCAUCGGAUUGCAACUUUGAAGACACAACAGCUGAGUACCAACAUCAUGGAAGGAGGCCAAGCCCGAUCCAGCGUGCCCACCUACUUGGCUUGGUCCAUUUUAAACACACUCUGCUGCUGUUUCCCUCUCGGAGUCGCCGCGAUUGUUUAUUCCAGCAAGGCGAAUAGUGCGAAUUCUGUGGGAGACUCGGCCACUGCGCAGGAUGCCUCCCGGACCGCCAGGAACCUGAAUAUCGCUGCGCUUGUGUGUGGAGUUAUUCUGUUGAUAAUUAUCAUUGUGGUCCAAGUCCUCAAACAGCAAUAAUACAAGAGGAAGACCGUCCUGGAUCAUCAAAAUCUUUGAGGACAUUAUCUUUCUAUCAUUUCUGCUGCAACCUUUUCUGUAGAGUAUAACCAAAACCAGCUGUACUCUUUUAAUGUAAACACAAGCAGGAACGGGACGCUGCUUAAAAUUUAAAGUCACGGGAAAGAUGGGAUAAAGGGAUUCAUCAUCAGAUAUUGUAAGAGCCAUGUGUAUAGCUUUUAGCUCUUGAAGAUUGUCGCUUAAUUGUCUUUGUGGCUUGUCGCACUGUGUAAUAAAGGCUCACAAAAGUCA